CUUCAGACAAUGAAUUUUACUGUUCAACUGCUGAAUGAUACAGGCAUGAACUAAAAAUUCUGACAGAG
ensembl:snoRNA